rnacentral:rRNA from 1 species
GAUGAACGCUAGCGAUAGGCCUAACACAUGCAAGUCGAGGGGCAGCAUAGAGUAGCAAUACUCAGAUGGCGACCGGCGCACGGGUGAGUAACGCGUAUGCAAUCUACCUACAACAGGGGAAUAACCCGGAGAAAUCCGGACUAAUACCGCAUAAGACAGGGGUCCCGCAUGGGAAUAUUUGUUAAAGAUUUAUCGGUUGUAGAUGAGCAUGCGUUCCAUUAGGUAGUUGGUGAGGUAACGGGCCACCAAGCAAAUGAUGGAUAGGGGAACUGAGAGGUUUGUCCCCCACACUGGAACUGAGACACGGACCAGACUCCUACGGGAGGCAGCAGUGAGGAAUAUUGGUCAAUGGGCGAGAGCCUGAACCAGCCAAAUCGCGUGAAGGAAGACUGCCUUAUGGGUUGUAAACUUCUUUUACAGGGGAAUAAAAGGGCUUACGUGUAGGUUAUUGCAUGUACCCUGUGAAUAAGCAUCGGCUAACUCCGUGCCAGCAGCCGCAGUAACAC